GGAAGGUUCAGGCGUAAAAGGGAGACACUGCCUAGCGGAGCAGUCAUCGGUGGAGUGGUCUGAGGCAGAGUGGGAGGGCUUUGGCUCAUUCGGGCUUUGGCAAUGUAAGUGGGAGGAAACCUGAGCACCAGGAGGAAAACCGUGCGGUCAUGGAGAGAUUGUAAGAACUCCUUACAGAGAGUGGCGGGUCACUGGCACUAGCAGAGAUCAGACACCUGCAUGUCUCUCCUUUCGCUCUGACACGAAGUCCAGCAACAGAGAUCAGUCACACCACAAUUUCACUCGUCUUAGCUGCCACAUCAUUAGAAUUCGUUUGCCAACCUCAAUGAAAAAGCUAAAGUAUUGAAGGUUACCAUUAAUAAGAAGUCCAAUGCUGUGCUGCUCGCUUUGUGCUAAAUGAUUACAGUGGGAAAUCCAGUGUCACCAACGUGCUCUCUAACCUUCAGUGGGAACCACCUGAAAACCGACGUACUAAACUAUGGUUAAUCUCCAUUUUCAAAGAAGUUCACAACAUCACUGAUGCACCAUCAAUAACUCACACUGAGACGUAAGGCGAGAUAUCAGCUUUUAUUGACUGGAAGAAGGAACCAGGAGUGAGUGUCCAUCAUACUAUGUCCUGGAGACUGAGGCCGAGCGUCAGGCCUCAGAUCGCCUUUAUACAGGGGCCUGUGGGAGGAGCCACAGGAGCAGUCAGCAGGGGGCGUGUCCCGACAGGCACAUAGUUCACCACAAUCACUCCAUCAGACGUCUAAAUUCGUCACAGGGUCAGUUCAACUCGACAGCAGACCGGACCUUACAUACUGGAAACCCCUUCAUUCAACAAGAUUUGCUACCAAUACUCCCGCUACCCAAGAUCAAAAAGCAAGUGGAAUCUUCUGCCGCCAGACCUGCGCAGUAUUUCUGACAUUAAUAUUUUUAAAGAUAGACUCAAUUAAAUCAACCUAGGGGAUCUAGUCAAAAAGCUCACUUUACAAUUUAACUCUCACGCUGUUCACACCAACUGCGCGUUAUAACAGCCGUCCGGCAGUGCUUAUGCAGUACCAAGCAGAAGCAGAAGCAGAAACUAGAAGGUGGUGGGAGAAGAAGGAAUCUGAUCGGAGAGGAGAGAGGACAUGGAAAAAAAGGAAAGAAGGGGGGGACGCUAAAGGAAGGUGAUAGACCAGAGUGGGAAUAGGAAAAGAGAGAAGGGGAGGAAAUAUCGAUGUUCAUGCUACCGGUUUGGAGCCUACCAAGAUGGAAUACUUUCCUCUAACCGGAAAGAGGCCUCAUUGUAACAAACGAUGUGGCCAUGAACCAACAUGUCAGAAAUGACUGGGAAUAGGAAUUAAAAUGGAUGGUCACUGGGAAUUUCCAUUCUGGUGGGUGGAGUGGAGGUGCUUGACAUUGGAGGUGCCCCAAUUUAUGUCGGGUCUCACCAAUGUAGAAGAGGCCACAUUGGGAGCACUGGCCACAAUAGACAACCCCGAUAGAUUUGCAGGUAAAUUGUUGCCUCACCUGGAAGGACUGCUUGGGGCCCUGAAUGGAGUAAGUGAGGAGGUAAAUGGGUAAGUGUAGCAUAUUUGUCACUUGCAGGGAAAUGUGCCAGGAGGAUGAUUAGUGGGGAGGGACAGGGGAAUUAUACCUAGUAUGUGUGAGGAGAGAUGCAUCAGUAAGUCAGAGGGAAAAAGGAAAUAUGAGUGGUUGACAGGACUUGAUGUGGGUGAUUCUGCAAACCUGGUUAUGUUAUGAAACUGCUUUCUGCACUGUUUCUUAGAUAAGGUCACAAAACACCUGCUGCUCAUCUCCGUGCUAACCGCACUUCCUGAGUGAAGCCAACAGGUUUCUUCCACCCACUGCUGGAGAAAUGUAUGUGAGUCUUGUUACUGACUACAUCCAGCAAAAAUCCAAGGGAAGGACUGAUCUUUCUGAAUCCAUCCAAAGCACUUCUUGAGUCCGACAAAUUGUAUUGCUGCAUUUGGUCUUUAAACUACAGAUAUUUUAUUAGAUUAAUGCAACAUUUUUGUAGGAAAUAAAGGGGCAAAAAAAAAAUAAAUUCACCGAAACUCAGAAUGAACAAACACUGAUGGAAAAUCACAAAGAGAAAUAAUACAGGACUUUUCAUUCUGCCCAAUGCAUUAAUAAUUUCUUUGGACAACAAAGAUUCUGCUUCCUAAAUACUUUUGAGUGUAUUUUAUGGAUUUUGGGCUGCUGAUCGUGAAUAUUACCAUGAAAUUUCCCUAUCAUCCACCAUUAUUUUUAAAAAUUGCCUAUUUUUGUUAUUUCAAGUCAAUUAAAAUAUUGCCCACAAUGUAAGCUGAAAAGUUUUCUGUCUUGUCCAGAUAUGCCUGGGAAUGCUUGGGCAGGACAGGUUAUAGAAAGGCUACAAGAGCAUCAUGCACACGUCAUUCUGCGCGUUGCGCUUACAGGUAUAUUGGUUUGCGAACUUGUUCAUGCGCAUGCUUUACCCACAUAACAUAAUGUAUUUACUCAUUGUAAUAAAGUAAUUGUACUUCAUUUUGCUAAGCAUUUUGUCAUACCAAAAUGUCCCACCAAUGUUGCAAAAGCUAUGAUACUUUCUGUUAUAUUUGUGAUGAGUAUAUACUUAAAUCUCAAAGACAGAGUAUGACUCCUCGCAUAAGAAAGCCUACGAGCUCCACUUUGGGUGUAAAAUUGGUGACCAAGGCAAAGCCUGGGCUCCUCGCAUUUGUUGUGCAACAUGCUCUGUCGAUAUGACAGCUUGACUCAGAGAUACUUGGAAGUCAAUGCCAUUCGCUGUCCCGAUGAUAUGGUGAGAGCAGAAGGAUCAUGUGACAGACUGCUACUUCUGUCUGACCAGUGUGUCUGGUUUCUCUGAUAAAAACAAAAGAUCCAUUGAACACCCCGAUCGCCCUUCAGGCAAUGAGACCUGUCAUACAUGAUAGUACAUUGUCUUCAGUCCUGAAGCCACCAGUGACAUGGAGUCUAGAGGAGGUAGACAAAGAUGCCGUGAUGCCUGAACCAGGAAUGGAAAAUGACACUGAUACUGAUACAGAUUUUGAACCCUUUAUGUCGAGUGAGCCUCAGCUGCUAAUUUAAUCUGAGUUAACUGACCUGGUCAGAGACCUGGGCUUGUCAAAGACAAAAGCGGAAUUACUGGGUUCAAGACUGCAAGGAUGGAAUCUACUGUCACCAGGCACAAAAAUUUCUGUGAAGGAUUUCAAUAUUUGAGACAGAUAUUUCCCAGAAUAACUGAUGCCAAGAUUAAAGAAGGCAUUUUUGUUGGUCCACAAAUCAAGCAAAUCUUCAAUAAACAAACACGAGGAAAUCUGCAGAUGCUGGAAAUUCAAACAACACACACAAAAUGCUGGUGGAACACAGCAGGUCAGACAGCAUCUAUAGGGAGAAGCGCUGUCGACGUUUCGGGCCGAGACCCUUCCUUAGUCAGGAAAUCUUCAAUGAUGUACAAUUCGUAGAACUCCUAGUGGGACCGGAGAAAAACACAUGAAAGGCAUUCAAGGAUGUUGUUGAAAAUUUUCUUGGCAACUACAGAGCACCAAACUACAUGCAGCUGGUUGAUGAAAUGCUUCAAACAUACAAAACAAUGAAGAGCUACGUCACUAAUGAAGAGCCAUCAGUGAUGAGCAUGGUGCAAGUUUUCACCAGGACAUUACGGUCAUGGUGUAACGGUAUAAGGGCAACUGGAAAUCCAUCAAUGCCGGCUGAUUAUUGUUGGACACUUAAGGAAGAAGCCUCAGACACUGAGUACAAAUGAAAAUCACCAACAAAACAUUUUGGCUUAGUUGAAUUAUCGCAACGUGUCAGCACUGUUCUGCAAUUCAGCACAUCAUACUCAAUAAAAAUUCAUUUCUUUUUUCUCCAAAUUCCUACGUGAUACAAGUAGUUAUAUUUGAGUUCAGCUUCAAGAUGUCUAUCAUAAACAAAACUUUCGAAAACACUUGCUGUCCAGUGUUUAGUGGCUCUUUUCUAUUCAUGAUUAUACAUGCCUCCAUCUCGCCACAUGUUCUGAAACAAGGAAAUAGCCAACUGAACCGAUGUGAUCAAAAAGCAACACCUGGAAUAAUUGCAUCAAACAAGUACAAUACAGUAUGAGAAAAAAUAAAAUACCUGAAAUGGCCACAUAAGUCUCUAUAAUAUAUAAAUAAUUCAAGUGGAACAAAACACAAAGUAUGGAAGUCCCAUUUGUACUAUUCUAGUUGUUGGUAAGCAAAAAUGGGAGAGGUAUUUCUUCAGCGCACAAACCUAAGCUUAAUUUUUCUCCAGUUUUUAAAUUUAAAAACCACACUUAUUUUAGUUAUCGCUGUGGCUCAGCUAACAGCGUUUUAUGGCUGAGGUGAAGUAUGAAAGCUCAAGUUUCACUCCAGAGACAAGAUCCAUGGUGACAUUGCUAUGCAGCACUGAGGAAGCAAUUGGUGGCGGCAUAUGUCUGUUAAACUUCAAAAUGAGACUUCACCUGUAGUUUCAGGAGAAAGUAAUAGAUCAACCACAUUGUUUUGAAGAUAGCUCAGUUUCUCCAAUGCCUUAGUGUUAUUCAUUAUCGAUAUCUUUGCAUUUGAUUGUUGUAGGCGAUUUGACUGCUGAAUUUUCUACAUUACAAUAGUGACUCUAGAAGUGCUUUGCACCAACCUGAAGCUCGAAAGGGAGAGCCCAAGUUCAGUCCUUUCCAAUAUGGUAUGCCACUCAGUUCAAGAACUGUAAAUAAACAUAACAUACAUUGAUCAAACAUCAUCUGCAAAAAUGCUGCUGAAUCACAGGAUCACAUCCCCACAGACAUGUACCCGAUAUGGGUGCUGCAUAGUGCUCAGACAGUGGCAGUUGGGAAGAUUUCAAAGCACUCGUUGAGAUUCUGGCAAGCCAUUGAAUGAGGUACAACAGGUAAAUGUAGAUGUCAUUGGUAAAGGAUGAAAUAUCCUGAAUCACUAUCCAGGCAUUCAACCCAAACUGUUGGACAUUCCUUGCCUCCCAUGAAUGCUGCUCAACCCCGCUGAGUUGCUCCAGCAGACUGUGUUUUGCUUAAGAUUCUAGCAUUUGCAGUCCCUUAUGUCUCCAUGAACUGUUCUUUCCACAUUUUGUAAUGCAAUGAUCACAAUUGUUAAUUGAGUGAAGAAUAAUGAAAUGUCCGUCCUGUUGCACAAAGAGGAUGCUUGUUAUUUGAACAAGCUGCUUAAAAAGUCAAAUUUUUAAAAACGUGUUCUGUGAAUCUGUGACUCCAAUUAUUACUCGUGUCUUAUUGCCAUGAGAUGGCAAUGGUGCCAUUUUCCUGGAAUCCUUCCUUUCCUUGUUGUGACAGUGGUGAGGUCAAUGGAAAGAGCAACCAAAUGAAAAGAAUGGAUAGACCAUCAAUUUGUAAUCACCCUUUUGACGUGAUUGUGCAAAGUCAAAGUUUAUCUCAUAACUUUAUAAUACUCUCAAACUCCAUUUCCCUGAUGUAUGGCAGGAUCCAUUGUAAUCUUCUCCAGUGAGUAGGAAAGGAAAACUACACAAGUUUUGAAUCUACUUGAAAUUUAACUCUGGUGUAUUGCAGGAUGCAUUACAAUCUUCUGCAAUGGAUAGGAAAGGUAACACUGCACUAGAUAUGAAUCUGCUUGAAAUUUAACUUUUCGUUGUCAUCAAUUUUAAAUAGCAAGAUUCCACAAAUAGACAAUGUUCUCUUUCAAACAAUAGGACAUCGGGAAUUCAUGUAAAUUGCAACUCUUUUAUACUAAUUGACUCAAAUGUAAUUUUAACUAGGAUAUGAAUGGUUGUUGUAGAUCAGCAAAAGGUAAGGACAAAGUCAAAAUAAGAAUUCCAUUGUAGAAUAGAUGGAUGGUCAUAACUUUCCCUGCCUUGGACAUCGCCUUCCAGAAAACUAGGAGGCAACCACCUAGCAGCUCAAAAUGUUAAUCCUUCUUGGAAUGGUUGGGGGAUGGUCUGAGGCCUGUGAGAGGAGCUUGGUGUUUAAUAUUGUUUUAGUUAAAAUAGGGAGUGGAAAAUUAGUUACUAGCUACCCCCCCCCCCCCCCCCCCGUUAAUAUUUACUUCUUCUGUAUUUCCACAGGAGAAUCAAAUGACAAACUGCAUAGGUUUUGUUGUGGAAAAACUUGUUUUAAGACUUAAAUUAAUACCACCCUGUGGUAAGUCAAAUUGCUUAAAACAAUCAAACGUCCUUCAUUUCCAUUUUAUAUCAUCCUGAAGCUCUAAAAAGGUAACGACUUUUGAAGUGCUAUCACUUUGGUGAUGUAGAAAUGCGGCAAGCAGUUUGCAUGCAACAUGCUCCCAGUAAUAUUGACAACAAUCAUAUUAUAAACAGAUAACUGUUUAGGAAUGUUUCUUGAUUAUUAAAUGUUGGCCCUGAUAUUUGCUUUUCUAAAUGAAUUGAUUCCGCAACCUAUGGACUCACUUUCAAGGACUUAACCACUCAAGUUCUCAGUAUUAUUUAUGUGCUUAGUUAUUGAUAUAUUUAUCUGCACAUUCUGUCUUCUUUUGCACAUUGGUUGUUUUUCAGUCUUUGCUUGUGUAUUGUUGUUCAUUGAUUCUGUUGUAUUUCUCUAUUCUACUGCGCAUGUCUGCAAGAAAAUGAAUCUCAAGGUAGUAUGUGGUGACAUAUGUAUAGUUGGAUAAUAAAUAUACUUCGAACUUCAAAGUAUUUUUAAUGAGAAAGUGAUAAAGAUGUGAUGAAUCAGCUGAAUUAUGACACCUCACAUAGCUUAACACUUGACAAAUACUAUGCCCAGAACCAAACUGGAAUAUUUGUAUGUGGAAUGGAACCCAUACUUGGAACAGUGAGAGUACUACUACCAACUGCACUCCUUUGUUUCUGUACUGGUGUUAUUAUGAUAAUGCUAUAGAUUACUCCUUCAAUAAUCUGCAAUGAAUGAUGCAUUAAUAGUAAAUAGUUUUUGUUUAAAUUCAUAAUCCUUCUGAGUGAGUAUUUUGUUUCUUUUUUAACUGGCAGGACGAUGUUGUCUGUUCUGUAUGUGUGGCUGUGAAACAACAAGCAGCUUUUUAAUUCACAAAGUCUGGGGAUAAGGCGGUAUUUCAUUUGCUCCUCUGUAUGCUGUCAAAUUUCUUGGGUCACAUUUGGAAGUAUGACAAGGACAGAAUACUAACUAAAUAAUAACUAUUGUGCAAAAAAAUUGUCAAUUGAUUAUUUAUUGUUUCUGACAAAUGCCUUAUAUGUUGAAAUCAAUUGUGAUUUACAUCUAUAACCAAUUAUACUUGAAAGUAAUCAACUGUGACUGCUGCAAAAACAAAGAAGAUAGUAUGUGUAGCUGAAGUAAAAAAAAAGUCAUAAUUAAAAUAGAUUUGAGCAUUUUCUCUAAAAUGUUAGCACGCACAUGCUGAAAAUGAUUCUAGCUUAUCUUAAGUGACACAGUAUUCUCGUUUUGCUGUUUUCUCUUUAAAUUUUCACUUUAACUCCAAUGUUUUUUGACAUACGGACAGAAUAUUUUAUCAGUGAAAAAAAUUCAAAUGAGCAAAUCAAUAUAUUUGGAUGACCAAACAAAAUUUCAAUUCAUAUUAAUAAUACUUGCACUAAAUAUCAUUAAAUCCAUGAUGUAAAUACAAUUAAUUUUAUUGUAUACUCAUAUAGAGAUAUCUUACUUCUCUACAUUUCUGUGUACAACUGAAAUUACUCAUUCAAGUUUUAACCAAAUGAUUGGAAUAAAUGCAAAUAAACACAUUUGAAUAUAUAAUUAAAAUUAUUAUAACAGCAAGAAUAAUAAGAAAAAUACUAACAAUAUUUAAUGUGGGGUAGGAAGGGAAAUUAGUUGUAAUGGGAUUGGGAUUUAGUGCGGACAUGGAUUGACGAAAGUUUGGGACAGGCAAGCAAAAUGUUAGGUAGUGGCCAGAUAUACCUCUGAUUGAAAUGUUAAGACCGCAUGAAGAUGGCUGUGAAUGUGGACGAGAGAGUUCAUCAUAUUGGAGAAAAUCAGGUCUACUAAGAGGGAGGUGAACACAGUUGAAAGGGAGCUUGAUUAAUUCAGAAGAAAUUUAAGAUGACUGAGGAUGCAAUAACAGUGCAGAGGGCAGGGGAAGACCUGUAGGUGUGCAUCAGAGAGUGUUCCAUCACUACAGAACAGAGUCUCUGUUCAUCAGGCAAGUGUUUACUGUUCCCUAGUUCUAUAAAAGUCAGGGGCCUUGUUAUUUUUAUUGUUGUUGGAAAACACAUUGUGUCAUAUUUUUUUGGUGUGAAAGCAACCUGGAAUCUGCCCAAUGCAAAAAGUUGUGUGGGAAUUGCUGUUGGCCACUGGUUGCACAAUUAUCAAGGAAUUUUGAAUGGAGCUGAACAUAAUAUAUCAGAAACAAUGGGAAGAUUACACAUGAUCAACAGAAAUUUUGCUUUCUGAAUACUUUUGGGUGUAUCUUAUGCAUUGUGGGCUGCUGAUCAUGAAAAUCACAAUGAAAUUUCCCUAUCGUGCACCGUUUUUUAAAAAUCACCUAUUUUUUUUCAAUUCAUAAUUCAAGUCAGAAUAACUGAAGCUAAGAUUGAGGAAAGCAUUUUUGUUAGUCCACAAAUCAAACAGGCCAUCAAUGAUAGGCAAUUUGAAGAACUUCUAAUGGAACUGGAGAAAAUCCAUGGAAGCCAUUCCAGGGUAUUGAAUAUUUUCUUGGCAACUACAGAGCACCAAACUACAUAAAUCUGUUUGGCAACAUACGUC